rnacentral:rRNA from 1 species
GACGAACGCUGGCGGCGUGCCUAACACAUGCAAGUCGAGCGAGUGAAUUUCCUUCGGGAUUGAAGCUAGCGGCGGACGGGUGAGUAACACGUGGGCAACCUGCCUCAUGGAGGGGAAUAGCCUUUCGAAAGGAAGAUUAAUACCGCAUAAGAUUGUAGCUUCGCAUGAAGUAGCAAUUAAAGGAGCAAUCCGCUAUGAGAUGGGCCCGCGGCGCAUUAGCUAGUUGGUGAGGUAACGGCUCACCAAGGCGACGAUGCGUAGCCGACCUGAGAGGGUGAUCGGCCACAUUGGGACUGAGACACGGCCCAGACUCCUACGGGAGGCAGCAGUGGGGAAUAUUGCACAAUGGGGGAAACCCUGAUGCAGCAACGCCGCGUGAGUGAUGACGGCCUUCGGGUUGUAAAGCUCUGUCUUCAGGGACGAUAAUGACGGUACCUGAGGAGGAAGCCACGGCUAACUACGUGCCAGCAGCCGCAGUAA